AAGAGUGCAGUGUUGAUUCAACGAAACAAACAAGCCCAUGAAUUUCUUUAUUAAUAGCCUAAAUAACAUGUUUUCUCCUGCGGGACGGGAGAAUACACAAAAUCAAUGCAUCUCUAUUAUUGUGCGCUCAGCAUUUCACAGGUGUGGGCGGGACUGGACACACCCAUUGUGGGAGCGGGUGGGACUGUAACACACACUUUGCAGGUGCAAGCAGGAAUGGUCAGAAUUUCAGCUGGAGCGGGAAGAAGAAUACUGUCCCGUGCA